AUUUCCGCUUUGAUAAGUUUUCAUGAGGUUUUGGUUUGGAUUGAACCGGUUGAACCGGAUUUUAAUAAUUCUAGUUACCCGUGCAUAAACCGUUUCUUCGUUAAUCCUAAAGUAUUUUGUUCUCUUCCCUUUCGCUCGUCGUCGUUAUGCUCCACGGCGGAAUCCGCCGACGGGGAUGAAGUUUCACGCUCCUCCCGUCGGAUUGCCGAACAAUUCUAUGUGAUAGAAUCCACAUGAUAAAGCGGAGUUUGGAGAACCUUACAGCUAAAGCGAGAUCCAGUGGUGCAAAUGGUAGAAUCUGCAGAAGGGAGGUGGUUUCUGGUUGAAGAGUUGGGUUAGUUUGGUUUCAACACUUGAUGUCGAAAUUCAUCAGCAGAAUUUCAAGAGCUUGAGACGGAGAUCUAAACUCCAGACUACCUUUUUGAGUUAAAAUGGUCCUGGUGAAAUGAGAGAGAAGACAUUAAUGUCCAACUGCUGAAGCUUGUUGCUUGGUUGCAGUGGCCCCAUCUGACAUGAAAUCAAAGGUAUACUACAGUCUGAAACUAUUCUUUGAUUUGCCAAUCAACAGUUAAUAUUAAAAAUAUAAGCGAAACUGUAUGCUGUUUCAUGCUGAAAUUUAGGUGUGUUAAGUU